rnacentral:rRNA from 1 species
GAUGAACGCUAGCGACAGGCCUAACACAUGCAAGUCGAGGGGCAGCAUGAAAUUAGCUUGCUAAUUUUGAUGGCGACCGGCGCACGGGUGAGUAACACGUAUGCAACCUGCCUGUAAGCGGGGGAUAACCCGGAGAAAUUCGGACUAAUACCGCAUAGUAUCAUUAAUUCGCAUGUUUUAAUGAUUAAAAAUUUAUUGCUUACGGAUGGGCAUGCGUAUGAUUAGCUAGUUGGCGGGGUAACGGCCCACCAAGGCGACGAUCAUUAGGGGUUCUGAGAGGAAGGUCCCCCACAUUGGAACUGAGACACGGUCCAAACUCCUACGGGAGGCAGCAGUGAGGAAUAUUGGUCAAUGGACGCAAGUCUGAACCAGCCAUGUCGCGUGAAGGAUGACUGUCCUAUGGAUUGUAAACUUCUUUUAUAUGGGGAUAAAGUGUGAGACUUGUCUCAUUUUGCAUGUACCAUAUGAAUAAGCAUCGGCUAACUCCGUGCCAGCAGCCGCUGUAACAC